rnacentral:rRNA from 1 species
CCGGAGGCCACUGCUAUUGGGGUUCGGCUAAGCCAUGCGAGUGGAGGGCGUCCCGCAAGGGAUGGCCCCGCAGACGGCUCAGUAACACGUCGUCAACCUACCCUGGGGUGGGGGACAACCUCGGGAAACUGAGGAUAAUCCCCCAUAGGUGGGGGAGGCUGGAAUGCGCCCCUGCUGAAAGCUCAGGCGCCCUAGGACGGGGCGGCGGCCUAUCAGGUAGUUGGUGGUGUAACGGACCACCAAGCCUACGACGGGUACGGGCUGUGAGAGCAGGAGCCCGGAGAUGGGGACUGAGACAAGGCCCCAGGCCCUACGGGGCGCAGCAGGCGCGAAAACUCCGCAAUGCGCGCAAGCGUGACGGGGGAACCCCGAGUGCCGCUGAUCUUUGAUCGGCGGCUUUUCGGGAGUGCAGGGAGCUCCCGGAAUAAGGGCUGGGUAAGACUGGUGCCAGCCGCCGCGGUAAUACCAGCAGCCCAAGUGGUGGUCGCAUUUAUUGGGCCUAAAGCGCUCGUAGCCGGGCCGGUAAGUUCCCCGUGAAAUCGGGUCGUUAACGAUUCGGCUUGCGGGGAAUACUGUCGGUCUUGGGGCCGGGAGACGCCGAGGGUACUCCGGGGGUAGCGGUGAAAUGCUGUAAUCCCCGGGGGACUACCAGUGGCGAAGGCGCUCGGCGAGAACGGGCCCGACGGUGAGGGGCGAAAGCUGGGGGAGCGAACGGGAUUAGAUACCCCGGUAGUCCCAGCCGUAAAGGAUGCGGGCAAGGUGCUUGUCGCUCUUCGAGGGCGCCAGGUGCCGUAGAGAAGUCGUUAAGCCCGCCGCCUGGGAAGUACGGUCGCAAGGCUGAAACUUAA